UUGUAAAGCUCUUUCAGCUGGAACGAAACGGUGCGCUCUAACAUAGCGCGCUAAUGACGGUACCAGCAGAAGAAGCACCGGCUAACUACGUGCCAGCAGCCGCGGUAAUACGUAGGGUGCGAGCGUUAAUCGGAAUUACUGGGCGUAAAGCGUGCGCAGGCGGAUUGUUAAGCAAGAUGUGAAAUCCCCGGGCUUAACCUGGGAAUGGCAUUUUGAACUGGCAGUCUAGAGUGUGUCAGAGGGGGGUGGAAUUCCACGUGUAGCAGUGAAAUGCGUAGAGAUGUGGAGGAACACCGAUGGCGAAGGCAGCCCCCUGGGAUAACACUGACGCUCAUGUACGAAAGCGUGGGUAGCAAACAGGAUUAGAUACCCUGGUAGUCUACGCCCUAAACGAUGUCAACUGGUUGUUGGGGGAGUGAAAUCCCUUAGUAACGAAGCUAACGCGUGAAGUUGACCGCCUGGGGAGUACGGUCGCAAGAUUAAAACUCAAAGGAAUUGACGGGGACCCGCACAAGCGGUGGAUGAUGUGGAUUAAUUCGAUGCAACGCGAAAAACCUUACCUACCCUUGACAUGUCCGGAAUCCUGCAGAGAUGCGGGAGUGCCCGAAAGGGAAUCGGAA
rnacentral:rRNA from 1 species